rnacentral:rRNA from 1 species
AUGAUUUUCGUGCAAGAUUUCCGCAGGAGGUUUCAGUUAAAUGCUUUGCGGAUGCUGGGUUUUUCCUUGAUGAAAAGGAUAUAUCCGGAAAAAGGUCCCUUUGGUCUCUGUACGAUAGUCAUUCACCUCCAGAAUGUUAGAAAAGUGUUGCCCAAGGACUGCCUUGCCAACAAGGAGCCAACCGAGUGCUUCUUCCCGGCAGAGCUUAUUAAGAGCAUCCGCACCCCCAUGUUUAUUCUCAACCCUAGUUAUGAUUCAUGGCAGAUACGAAAUGUUCUUGUACCUGAUUCAUCUGCUCCUGACAAAUCAUGGUUGAGUUGCAAGGAAAAUAUCCGAAACUGCAAUUCUACACAAGUUGAAGUCCUCGAUGGACUGAGGAAUAAGAUGGUCAAUGACUUGAAGGUCGUCGAAGACAAGGAGGACUGGGGCAUGUUCAUCGAUUCAUGCUUCACGCACUGCCAAUCGCUCUCCGGCGUCUCUUGGCAUUCACCAACCUCCCCGAAGCUUGAAAAUAAGACCAUUGCAGAAGCUGUUGGAGACUGGCACUCUGGAAGGAGCCAAGGAGCCAAAGAGAUUGACUGCAAGUAUCAGUGCAACCCAACAUGCAACAGUUUGCCGCCUCCACGGGAUGUUACUGCAUUCGACCGUGUCGAGAUCUACUAA